rnacentral:rRNA from 1 species
UACAGAGGUCCCAAGCGUUGUUCGGAUUCAUUGGGCGUAAAGGGUGCGUAGGUGGCGCCGUAAGUCAGGUGUGAAAUUUCGGAGCUUAACUCCGAAACUGCAUUUGAUACUGCGGUGCUUGAGGACUGGAGAGGAGACUGGAAUUUACGGUGUAGCAGUGAAAUGCGUAGAGAUCGUAAGGAAGACCAGUGGCGAAGGCGGGUCUCUGGACAGUUCCUGACACUGAGGCACGAAGGCCAGGGGAGCAAACGGGG